CGGAGCGUGGCGCAGUCUGGUAGCGCACUCCCUUGGGGUGGGAGAGGUCGGAAGUUCAAAUCUUCUCGCUCCGACCA
rnacentral:tRNA from 3 species